GCUGGGUGCAGUGGCGCAUGCCUGUAAUCCCAGCAGCUCGGGAGGCUGAGGCAGGAGGAUCGUAAGUUCAAAACCAGCCUCAACAAAGGAGAGGCGCUAAGCAACUCAGUGAGACCCUGUCUCUA
rnacentral:sRNA from 1 species